rnacentral:rRNA from 1 species
GAUGAACGCUAGCGGCAGGCUUAACACAUGCAAGUCGAGGGGUAUAGUUCUUCGGAGCUAGAGACCGGCGCACGGGUGCGUAACGCGUAUGCAAUCUACCUUUUACAGAGGGAUAGCCCAGAGAAAUUUGGAUUAAUACCUCAUAGUAUGUGAGAAUCGCAUGGUUUUCACAUUAAAGUUCCAACGGUAAAAGAUGAGCAUGCGUCCCAUUAGCUAGAUGGUAAGGUAACGGCUUACCAUGGCGACGAUGGGUAGGGGUCCUGAGAGGGAGAUCCCCCACACUGGUACUGAGACACGGACCAGACUCCUACGGGAGGCAGCAGUGAGGAAUAUUGGACAAUGGGCGCAAGCCUGAUCCAGCCAUGCCGCGUGCAGGAUGACGGUCCUAUGGAUUGUAAACUGCUUUUGUACAGGAAGAAACACUCCCUCGUGAGGGAGCUUGACGGUACUGUAAGAAUAAGGAUCGGCUAACUCCGUG